rnacentral:rRNA from 1 species
GUGAGGAAUUUUGCGCAAUGGGGGCAACCCUGACGCAGCGACGCCGCGUGGAGGACGAAGUCUUUCGGGAUGUAAACUCCUGUCAGUGGGGACGAUAAUGACGGUACCCACAGAGGAAGCACCGGCUAACUCCGUGCCAGCAGCCGCGGUAAGACGGAGGGUGCAAGCGUUGUUCGGAAUUACUGGGCGUAAAGCGUAUGUAGGCGGCAAGUUAAGUUCAAUGUUAAAGCCCACGGCUCAACCGAGGAGAUGCAUUGAACACUGGCUAGCUAGAGGGUGUUAGAGGAAGACGGAAUUCCCAGUGUAGCGGUGAAAUGCGUAGAUAUUGGGAGGAACAUCGGUAGCGAAAGCGGUCUUCUGGGACAUACCUGACGCUGAGGUACGAAAGCGUGGGGAGCAAACGGGAUUAGAUACCCGUGUAGUCC